rnacentral:tRNA from 1 species
ACCGAAAUAGCUCAGUUGGGAGAGCAUUAGGCUAUGGAUCGAAAAGUCACUGGUUCGAUCCUGUGUUUCGGCA